GCGCGCCGCGCCGCCGGGGGCUGUCUGGCCUCCUCG
rnacentral:misc_RNA from 1 species